rnacentral:rRNA from 1 species
CCUACGGGAGGCAGCAGUGGGGAAUCUUGCGCAAUGGGCGAAAGCCUGACGCAGCCAUGCCGCGUGAAUGAUGAAGGUCUUAGGAUUGUAAAAUUCUUUCACCGGGGACGAUAAUGACGGUACCCGGAGAAGAAGCCCCGGCUAACUUCGUGCCAGCAGCCGCGGUAAUACGAAGGGGGCUAGCGUUGCUCGGAAUUACUGGGCGUAAAGGGAGCGUAGGCGGAUAGUUUAGUCAGAGGUGAAAGCCCAGGGCUCAACCUUGGAAUUGCCCUUGAUACUGGCUAUCUUGAGUACGGAAGAGGUAUGUGGAACUCCGAGUGUAGAGGUGAAAUUCGUAGAUAUUCGGAAGAACACCAGUGGCGAAGGCGACAUACUGGUCCGUUACUGACGCUGAGGCUCGAAAGCGUGGGGAGCAAACAGGAUUAGAUACCCUGGUAGUCCACGCUGUAAACGAUGAGUGCUAGUUGUCGGCAUGCAUGCAUGUCGGUGACGCAGCUAACGCAUUAAGCACUCCGCCUGGGGAGUACGGUCGCAAGAUUAAAACUUAAGAGUAGUCGACGNGNGAGAGCGACGACGACGACGACGGAGGAGAG